rnacentral:rRNA from 1 species
UACGUAGGGGGCAAGCGUUGUCCGGAAUCAUUGGGCGUAAAGAGCGCGUAGGCGGCCCUGUAAGUCCGCUGUGAAAGUCAAGGGCUCAACCCUUGAAAUGCCGGUGGAUACUGCAGGGCUAGAGUCCGGAAGAGGCGAGUGGAAUUCCUGGUGUAGCGGUGAAAUGCGCAGAUAUCAGGAGGAACACCGGUGGCGAAGGCGGGUCUCUGGGCCGAUACUGACGCUGGAGGAGCGAAAGCGUGGGGAGCGAACAG